CAGAGUUUCUAAUUUACUUCCAAGGCACGGGUGCGGCAGAUGACUCAGGGCUGCCCAACGAUCUUUGCAGUGAGGCCUGAGGGAUCCGUCUCUACUCUGAAGAUCCAGCGCACAGAGCAGGGGGACUCAGCCGUGUAUCUCUGUGCCAGCAGCUUAACCACAGCAUGACACAAUCGCCUCCUUUCUGCUCAUAAACCUCCUCCUCUCUCUCCUUGCUUCCUUAUGAUACUAUUUUGCACCAGGGGAUCCUCAUCUCACACCACUCCACUGCCUCUUCCAUAAUCAUUGCUUGCAUGUCCGCUGCUCAGAUCAGCAGAUGUGCAUUUUAUAUGUUAAUCAUUUUCUGUGGAAGGCCAUUUGCUGGUCUUCAUUAUCCAUCCUUAUUUUCCACAUUGGAUACUGCUCCCUUCAAGAUUACUUGUUGCCUACAAGGGAUCCUACUUUUUACAUUCAAAUUUUACUUUUUAUUAAUACGUAUUUGAUGCCAUCUUGAAGGCAAUCUCAUUAUCGUCCCAAUCUUUUGCUAAUCUUUAUGUUUAUGGUAACAUUGAUUGUUAUUUUGGGGGACAUGUACUUCAUCUUUGGUAAUGAAAUGAAAUAACUAUGCACUUCAAUUCCUGUAUGUUCUUCCUACUUAAGAGUAAAUCCAAUUUUCUUCCAUUCCUCCCAUUCUAUCCCACUCCCUUUAUAUGAUAGUUUUAAGGGAGAAAAUAUUAAUUAGACUCUAACUGCAGCAAUGUGAUAAGAGUUAUUUAGAAUGAGGGUGGGAUAUUAAGCUUUGAGUAAAGCAAUAGUCAGGGUUAGAACUAGUGUUGGAAUCAGGGUUUAGGGAAGUUGCUCAUAAAACCUGCAGGAUGACACUUCUAGAAUAGUCUCUCAUUCAUUCUGCAGACACUUCCCAGCAUCCCUUGGGCCAUUGCAAAAGCAAUGAUGAAACUUCACGUAUUGGCCACAAGAUGGCACUGUGGUCCACUGGGAUCUAAGGGACUCUGGGGAGAGCCUGGGAGAGCAGCCUAGGAAGGGAAGGGUUAAGAAAAAUUAGGGCUGGAAUCCAAUAUUAUGCAGAUGUUGCAGCAGUUUUCAGUCAUUGCUAGGCUACCUACAGCUAUGCAAGAUGCAGGAAAUACCUCUAAUCUUUAAUGAGAUCCACAGUUGAAGAAUUUUGGCCUGGCAGCCUUGGUGUCAAGCGCAGGUGCAAGCAGAGGAGCAACUGCCUCAAAGGAACGUGGGAAAGCUAGGGGCGGGCUGUGCCCUAAGCUCAGUAUGUCUCUGCUGCACCCCAUCUUCCCUGCAGACCUUGCCAGGCAACAGCCUUCAUGAGAGGAGGUGGAUCCUGCCUGAGACCAGUCAGAAGGCCCUGGACCAGCUGGACUCCCAGGCUCUAUUGAUGCUGGGAUCACCCAGAUGCCAAGAUAUCACAUUGUACAGAAGAAAGAGAUGAUCCUGGAAUGUGCUCAGGAGAGAAGAAAAAAGCAGAAAGCAGCUGGGAAGCUUUAGCCUGCUUGAGUGAUCUGGGAUUCUCAAGUAGCAUACAUAACAUCACCUUGGCUUUGGUUCCUUUGGAUACCAAGCAUGUGUUCUGUGGAGGACAAGAAAAUCCAAUUUUUUUGUUAUAAAGUUAUAAACACACAAGAGAACAAUCCAGUUAGGGAGAAUGUUAAUAAAUACAACAAACUCUGCCAUUA